rnacentral:sRNA from 1 species
GAACAUGGGCGCGUCCUACUGUCACUGUGCUACAGCUCUCAGUGGGCUGGCUUGCUGGUAGGUGUGCUGCGCUGCGCCCACCUGGCCCCCAUGGAUGCCAAUGGUUACUCGGACCCCUUCGUGCGCCUGUGAGUGAACUGGGGUAGACAGGCGGGAGGUGAGGAUAAGGCUGUGACUCCUCACCUCUCCAGGGCCACACCUAACCCACCAAUCUUCCCCGAUCAGUUUCCUGCAUCCAAAUGCAGGGAAGAAAUCUAAAUUCAAAACCAGUGUUCACAGGAAGACCCUGAACCCCGAGUUCAAUGAGGUGAGCCAGGGCCAGGCAGGUCCCAGCCAACCCUGGCCUUGACAUGCUGAGCCACUACCCUACCGUGGCCUGCUUCUUAAGCUGUGGGAGAGCCGAGGCUGCCUCCUUCCCGCCUCUCUGCCCUUCUCCCUGCAGGAAUUCUUUUACUCAGGCCCACGGGAGGAGCUGGCCCAGAAGACGCUGCUGGUGUCCGUGUGGGACUAUGACCUAGGCACGGCUGAUGACUUCAUUGGUGAGUGGGAACAUGAGGAGCUGGGGUGGGGGCCCAGUAGGCUCCUGGCGGUUCCUGACCCAUCCCCCAUGGCAGGCGGGGUGCAGCUGGGCAGCCAUGCCAGUGGGGAGCGCCUGCGGCACUGGCUUGAGUGCCUGGGCCACAGUGACCACCGCCUGGAGCUGUGGCACCCGCUGGACAGCAAGCCUGUCCAGCUCAGCGACUAGCCCAUGGGCCCUGCCUGCCGCCCCUCCACUACAGCUGCCUGAAACGUCCCCACAAAAAUGAUGGCGGCUGGGGCUGCCUUACCCUCAUGCCCAGCCCCAAGUCAGAGAGGUGUUUCCUCUCUCCCCGCUUUCACAUUCACCCCACCCCAAAUCAUGGAGCCGAAAUAAACAUCUCCUUCAAGCC